AUUGAACGCUGGCGGCAUGCUUUACACAUGCAAGUCGAACGGUAACAGGCCGCAAGGUGCUGACGAGUGGCGAACGGGUGAGUAAUGCAUCGGAACGUGCCCAGUCGAGGGGGAUAACGCAGCGAAAGCUGUGCUAAUACCGCAUACGAUCUAUGGAUGAAAGCGGGGGACCGUAAGGCCUCGCGCGAUUGGAGCGGCCGAUGUACGAGUAGGUAGUUGGUGGGGUAAAGGCCUACCAAGCCGACGAUCUGUAGCAGGUCUGAGAGGACGACCAGCCGCACUGGGACUGAGACACGGCCCAGACUCCUACGGAAGGCAGCAGGGGGGAAUUUUGGACAAUGCGCGCAGGCCUGAUCCAGCAAUGCCGCGUGCAGGAAGAAGGCCUUCGGGUUGUAAACUGCUUUUGUACGGAACGAAAAGGCGCCUACUAAUACUGGGUGUUGAUGACGGUACCGUAAUAAUAAGCACCGGCUAACUACGUGCCAGCCGCCGCGGUAAAAC
rnacentral:rRNA from 1 species